CAUUUAUAAAGGUUAUAAUCCUUUUCUUUUUA
rnacentral:tRNA from 1 species